GAGCGCCGUAGCAAUACGGAGCGGCAGACGGGAGAGUAACACGUGGGAACGUACCCCUCGGUUCGGAAUAACUCAGGGAAACUUGAGCUAAUACCGGAUACGUCCGCGAGGAGAAAGAUUCAUCGCCGAGGGAUCGGCCCGCGUCCGAUUAGCUAGUUGGUGGGGUAACGGCCCACCAAGGCGACGAUCGGUAGCUGGUCUGAGAGGAUGAUCAGCCUCACUGGGACUGAGACACGGCCCAGACUCCUACGGGAGGCAGCAGUGGGGAAUAUUGGACAAUGGGCGCAAGCCUGAUCCAGCCAUGCCGCGUGGGUGAUGAAGGCCUUAGGGUUGUAAAGCCCUUUCGGCGGGGAAGAUAAUGACGGUACCCGCAGAAGAAGCCCCGGCUAACUUCGUG
rnacentral:rRNA from 1 species